rnacentral:rRNA from 1 species
AAUGAACGCUGGCGGCAUGCCUAACACAUGCAAGUCGAACGAUGCUUUCGGGCAUAGGGGCGCACGGGUGCGUAACGCGUGGGAAUCUGCCCUCAGGUUCGGCAUAACAGUUGGAAACGCCUGCUAUACCGGAUGUUGACGUAAGCCCAAAUAUUUAUCGCCUGAGGAUGAGCGCGCGUAGGAUUAGGUAGUUGGUGGGGUACAGGCGCACCAAGCCGACGGUCCGUAGCUGGUCUGAGAGGGUGUUCACGCACGCUGGGACUGCGACGCGGGCCAGCAGUGGACAGGAGGGAGCAGUGGGGAAUAUUGGAAAAUGGGGGAGAGCCUGAUCCAACAACGCCGCGUGGGUGAUGAAGGCCUUAGGGUUGUAAAGCUCGUUUACCCGUGAUGAUAAUGACAGUACCGGGAGAAUAAGCACCGGCUAACUCCGUGCCAGCCGCCGCAGUAA